rnacentral:rRNA from 1 species
AUUGAACGCUGGCGGCAGGCCUAACACAUGCAAGUCGAGCGGAUGAAGGGAGCUUGCUCCUGGAUUCAGCGGCGGACGGGUGAGUAAUGCCUAGGAAUCUGCCUGGUAGUGGGGGAUAACGUCCGGAAACGGGCGCUAAUACCGCAUACGUCCUGAGGGAGAAAGUGGGGGAUCUUCGGACCUCACGCUAUCAGAUGAGCCUAGGUCGGAUUAGCUAGUUGGUGGGGUAAAGGCCUACCAAGGCGACGAUCCGUAACUGGUCUGAGAGGAUGAUCAGUCACACUGGAAAGGAGACACGGCCAAGCCUCCUACGGGAGGCAGAAGGGGGGAAUUUUGAACAAUGGGCGAAAGCCUGACCCAGCAAUGCCGGGUGUGGGAAGAAGGUCUUGGGUUGGUAAAGCCUUUUAGGUGGGGAGGAAGGGAAAUAAUUUAAUACUUUGUGUUUUUGACUUUACAAAAAAAAAAAGCCCCGGCUAACUUCGUC